rnacentral:tRNA from 1 species
CGGGCUGUAGUAUAACGGUAGUAUAUAUGCUUUGGGAGCAUACGGCCUGGGUUCAAUUCCCAGCAGCCCGA